ACGACAGUAUCUUCAGAACUGUACGUAGUAUCUCACAGUAGAUCGUUUCAUUUAGAGUCUGCUUUGAUCCUUAGCGACAAAGACAGAGAU
rfam:[Clostridium] cellulosi genome assembly, chromosome: I